GUGCUCACAGUCACAGCAAAUGUGCCAAAAUGGAGAAAAUACAGAGGAGAACAGCAAGGCCCCUGUGCAGGGAUGACAGGAACUCACAGAGCAGUCUAUAUUUUC